rnacentral:rRNA from 1 species
ACGGGUGCGGAACACGUACACAACCUUCCUUUAAGUGGGGAAUAGCCCAGAGAAAUUUGGAUUAAUACCCCGUAAUAUAUAGAAGUGGCAUCACUUUUAUCUUAUAGCUCCGGCGCUUAAUGAUGGGUGUGCGGCUGAUUAGAUAGUUGGCGGGGUAACGGCCCACCAAGUCUGCGAUCAGUAACUGGUGUGAGAGCACGACCAGUCACACGGGCACUGAGACACGGGCCCGACUCCUACGGGAGGCAGCAGUAAGGAAUAUUGGUCAAUGGACGCAAGUCUGAACCAGCCAUGCCGCGUGGAGGAUGAAGGCCCUCUGGGUUGUAAACUUCUUUUAUCUGGGACGAAAAAGGGACUUUCUAGUUCAACUGACGGUACCAGAGGAAUAAGCACCGGCUAACUCCGUGCCAGCAGCCGCGGUAAUACGGAGGGUGCAAGCGUUAUCCGGAUUCACUGGGUUUAAAGGGUGCGUAGGUGGGCAGGUAAGUCAGUGGUGAAAUCUUUGGGCUUAACCCGAAAACUGCCAUUGAUACUAUUUGUCUUGAAUAUUGUGGAGGUCAGCGGAAUAUGUCAUGUAGCG